rnacentral:rRNA from 2 species
CAGCCGCCGCGGUAAAACCAGUACCUCAAGUGGUCAGGAUGAUUAUUGGGCCUAAAGCAUCCGUAGCCUGCUUUGUUAGUUUUCGGUUAAAUCCAUACGCUUAACGUAUGGGCUGCCGGGAAUACUGCAAAGCUAGGGAGUGGGAGAGGUAGACGGUACUCGGUAGGAAGGGGUAAAAUCCUUUGAUCUAUUGAUGACCACCUGUGGCGAAGGCGGUCUACCAGAACACGUCCGACGGUGAGGGAUGAAAGCUGGGGGAGCAAACCGUAUUAGAUACCCGGGUAGUCCCAGCUGUAAACUAUGCAAACUCAGUGAUGCAUUGACUUGUGGUCAAUGCAGUGCUGCAGGGAAGCCGUUAAGUUUGCCGCCUGGGAAGUACGUACGCAAGUAUGAAACUUAAAGGAAUUGGCGGGGGAGCAC